ensembl:snRNA U2 U2 spliceosomal RNA
AUCACUUCUCAGCCUUAAGAUCAAGGGUAAUAUCUGUUCUUAUCAAUUUCAUACCUGCUACGUCCUCUGUCUGAGGCCAGUUAGGUUAAAUGGAUUUUUGGAGCAGGAGGUUGGAAUAGGAGCUUGCUCCACUCACUCUGCACAUUGACCUGCUACUGCAGGACGUCAGGGAUCAGUGGGGUGGGG